UUCAAAUGACAACAGGAAUAAGAAUAAAGAACAAUGUAAUAGAGAGUCCUAAAUCAUAUGAAAAUUGCCCAGAAAGCCCCCUUUUUAGUCCAGCAAUUCCCUCAUGUCCAGCUAGAGGGAAGCAAUUGCAAGGACAACUAUAGCUUCCUCAGUCUAAGCCAAAACCGCAAGCUCCACCCUUAUCGUCCUCAUUGGGCAAAUCUCACAUGCAAAUCCUUUACAACAUAGCUUCCUGCAGAAAUAAAAGCUCCUCAUCUUCAGAAAUCUCAGUCCCUCUCCGGACACUGAAGAAGUGGCAAUUCCUGCCAAGACACAUUGAGGAAGAGAAAAGAAAUCAUAUAUCCUCACCAAUUUUCUCCCUUCUCCAAUGAAUAUGGAUGCAAGACCAACAACUGAGAGGUCCAGGGAUUGAAAUGCUGAAUUCGACUGUACUCCUUUGAGGGGGGAAAAGAAAAAAAACAAAACACCACACCUAUGGGAAAUAAUACAAGCGAUAAUGCAGAAUUCAAUAUUUCAUAGCUCAUUCAGUCUGAAAAUGCAUCUGCUCUUGGAUACAUUUAAUAGCAUCCAGUCUGGGCCUUGGGAAAUAGGACAGGAUCAUCGGCUGACCUGCACUAUCUUUAAAUAUGAUCAUAUGGAAAACUGGAGCUCGGUCCAGCGCCACUGAUGAAAGGACAGAAAACCAAUGGAUUGGAUGGGACGUAUAUCUCUACAUGAUGCAUAUUCACAACGUUUCUUAUAUUUUUAAAAGCUUGAAUACUUUUCUUCACGGAUGCCACCAGAACCUAGGAUUAUUUGGAGUGAAUAUACCAAGAGAAACAGACUUUCUAUUACAGGAAAGAUGGAUGUCACCUGCACAGUUGUAAACUCAGAUUUGAAGUCUCCAGGUUAAAAUCCAUUUCUACAUAAAUUUCUCCUUGGCAAGGCAUUUAUCCAUUAUAGUCAAGUCACCUCUGAAUAUAUCUGAUAAGUAGAAGAAACUUUGUAAGCAUUUUAACUAAGAAAAAAAAAAAACAGGAAUUGAAGAGGAAGAUGUGGAAUAUUUUCUUCUUCCAUUUCUUCAAUGGAUUAAAUCUUUCCCCUCCCCCCAUCUUCUUCACUCAGCGGCCAGUUACCAUAUGUAUGAGCUAAAAGGUCUCCAGUUUAUGCCACCAAUGGUUUAUUGCAACAUUGGGAAGAAACACAUGUGGAUUAAGCCAAUCAGUCCCACCUGAGAAAAUAAUUUUGUAAGACUGUACCACUGUCUCCAGGACCAAGAUUUACCACAGUUAAAGAGCCGGUGUCAAAGGAUGGUCAUCCUCGCUAUAAAGAAGCAGCAACUGGCAGACAGCAUACUACAGGAUUUCUUCAUAUUAUUGAUAUUACUUGUCAAGGGACAAUCAAAUUUUGUAUGGUCAUGUACCACUGUGUAAUAUGGCGUGGGUCUCACAAUGGUAAAUGCCCUAUCAAAAACCUAGAUACUAUUAGAAGAAGCACAAAGAAUUUGAGCCUGGAAAGUUCUCCGAGUCAUUUCCAUUACACUGAAAAUUGACUGCGAGUGAGGGGAAAAAAAAAAACCCCACUGACACAUGCUAUCGAUAAAGGAUUGCACUUUUUCUGUAAUAAUCACCCUAGACUGAGAUUUUCAGAGGAACAACUAAGAAUUAGCUAAAUCCUAUUGAUUUAGGGAUAAUAGUCAUCUGUCCAUCCACCCAUUCAUAGAAUCAGAGAAAAUUAGGGUUGGAAGGGACCUCAAGGAGGUCAUCUAGUCCAGCAUUUCUCAACCUGUGGGUCCUGACCCAAAAGUGGGUCACAAGAAUAUAUGAAAGGGUUGUGAACAAACUUUAAAAAAAAGUGGAUCAAACUUGAAAAAUGUAUACACACUUUUCUAUCCAUCACUCCUUCCAUUUCUCGUAUGCCACAUUUAUCUGUCUCUCUCUCCAAUUAGCGGUCUGUCAAUUUACAGCCACCAACCACCCAGUUCUCUAUCCAUCUAAACACUCCAACUGGCCACCCAUGUCCAUCCCAUCCCAUACAUACACACACACCAAUAUUCCCACACACCCCAUCUAUCUAAAUAUGCCACUGAAGCAAUUUUAGCCUUGGUAUAAUCAAACAAAACACAUUUGAUGAACUCAAGGGUAGCAAAAAUGUCACUGUAGAACGCUGAUAACUCUCUCAACCUCAGCAGGGUUUGGGCACCCAACUCCCAGAGGUUCCUUUGAAAGAUUUAACUAUAGCAGAGAUAAUUUGGACAACCUACCUGUAAGCUUUGAUUUUUUCACAACCUUAAAUAGCCAACCCUGAAGCCCCAAUGUUCUAGUGCUCCUUUUUUCUUUUCUUUUUUAAUUUUCUUCCAUACUUCUCAUUGGAAUUUGCACUGUGGUAUCCUCUCAAGCUGAAAUUCAUUUUAGAAGAAUAAAUCUAAGAUGAUAAAA